GAUGAACGCUGGCGGCGUGCCUAAUACAUGCAAGUCGAGCGAACAGAUGAGGAGCUUGCUCCUCUGACGUUAGCGGCGGACGGGUGAGUAACACGUGGAUACCCUACCUAUCAGACUGGGAUAACUUCGGGACACCGGCGCUUAUACCGGAUAAUAUAUUGAACCGUAUGGUUCGUUAGUGAAAGUCGGUUUUGCUGUCACUUAUAGCUGGUUCCCCGCCGCAUUAGCUAGUUGGUAAGGUAACGGCCUACCAAGGCAACGAUGCGUAGCCGACGGGAGAGGGUGAUCGGCGACACGGGAGCUGAGACACGGUCCAGAGGCCUACGGGAGGCAGCAGUAGGGAAUCGGCCGCAAUGGGCGAAAGCCUGACGGAGCAACGGCGCGUGAGUGAUGAAGGUCUUCGGAUCGGAAAACUCUGUUAUUGGGUAAGAACAAAUGUGGAAGUAACUAUGCACGGCUUGACGGUACCUAAUCAGAAAGCCACGGCUAACUACGUG
rnacentral:rRNA from 1 species